rnacentral:rRNA from 1 species
CUGAUGUUAGCGGCGGACGGGUGAGUAACACGUGGGUAACCUACCUAUAAGACUGGGAUAACUUCGGGAAACCGGAGCUAAUACCGGAUAAUAUUUAGCUUCGCAUGAAGCAAUAGUGAAAGACGGUUCUGCUGUCACUUAUAGAUGGACCCGCGGUGUAUUAGCUAGUUGGUGAGGUAACGGCUCACCAAGGCAACGAUACAUAGCCGACCUGAGAGGGUGAUCGGCCACACUGGGACUGAGACACGGCCCAGACUCCUACGGGAGGCAGCAGUAGGGAAUCUUCCGCAAUGGACGAAAGUCUGACGGAGCAACGCCGCGUGAGUGAAGAAGGUUUUCGGAUCGUAAA